GAGGCAGCAGCUAAGAAUCUUCCGCCAAUGGGGGAAAGCCCUGACGGAGCGACGCCGCGUGAACGACGAAGGCAGAGAUGUUGUAAAGUUCUUUUCCUGGGGGAGAAUAAUGCUCCGAGGGAAUGCGGAGCAGAUGACGUGAACCAGGGAAUAAGCCCCGGCUAAUUACGUGCCAGCAGCCGCGGUAACGCGUAACGGGCUGAGCGUUGUUCGGAUCUAAUUGGGCGUAAAGGGCGUGUAGGCCGUAGUGCAAGUCUGGUGUGAAAGGACCCGGCUCAACCAUGGGACCGCGCCGGAAACUGUGCUGCUUGACUCUAGGAGGGGGAGCUGGAAUUCCUGGUGUAGGGGUGAAAUCUGUAAAGAUCAGGAAUAACACCGGAUGCGAAGGCGAGCUCCUGGCCAUAGACUGACGCUGAGGCGCGAAAGCUUGGGGAGCGAACAGGAUUAGAUACCCUGGUAGUCCAAGCUGUAAGCGAUGUGCAUUUAGGUCUUGGGACCAUAGAAAGGUGUCGGUGCCGCAGCUUACGCGUUAAGUGCAGCACGACCUGGGGUGUAUGCUAGCAAGGCUGAAACUCAAAGGAAUUGUACGGGGGCCCGCACAAGCGGUGGAGCAUGUGGUUUAAUUCGAUGAUACGCGAGCAACCUUACCAGGGCAUGACAUAAAGCGGACGGUGGUAGAGAUACAGCUUCC
rnacentral:rRNA from 1 species